GACGAACGCUGGCGGCGUGCUUAACACAUGCAAGUCGAACGGAGUGCUCAUGACAGAGGUUUUGGCCAAUGGAUUGAGUUACUUAGUGGCGGACUGGUGAGUAACGCGUGAGGAACCUGCCUUUCAGAGGGGGACAACAGCUGGAAACGACUGCUAAUACCGCAUAAGCCCACGACCCGGCAUCGGGUUGAGGGAAAAGGAGCAAUCCGCUUUGAGAUGGCCUCGCGUCCGAUUAGCUGGUUGGUGAGGUAACGGCCCACCAAGGCAACGAUCGGUAGCCGGACUGAGAGGUUGAACGGCCACAUUGGGACUGAGACACGGCCCAG
rnacentral:rRNA from 1 species